AAAGGAAGAAAGAUUGAAGAAGUUAGUAUCCAUGCUUAAUUGUAGUUCAACAAGCCAUCGGGAAAUAUGCCGUACAAGCACGGUAGGAUUCGGAUUUAAAUGUUGAACCACUACUUCAUUUUUGUGGACCCAGAUAAAAUAAGCCACAACAGCCACCAUACAAAAGAAGCGACAUUUCUCUUGAUGUAAGAAGAAAGAAUUAAAAAAGAAAACCCUGACAAAAUCAGUCACAGAUGAAAUAUGUAAUCUAUUAAAAUAUAAGCCGAUCGGACAAAUAGCCUAAAUCCUUGCAGUGAAGUCACAUUCAAGGAAGAGGUGGGGAAUAGAUUCAGUAUUAGUAUCACAAAACGCACAUGAGACAUCUAGAUUCAUCCAUUUACUCAACUGUUCCCGAAAAGGAACACCAUUAAGCAACAAUCGCCAGAAAAAAAAUUGUAAAUUUUGGGUGCAAAUUCAAUUUCCAGAAAAAUUCCACCAAUGUGAAGGAAGAGAAAGGUAUGAGUUAGGGGUAGAACCCCGAAAAGGACCAACGGGUUGAGCAAGAAGAAAUCGAGAUGCAUGCUUUGUAGAAAAAAUACCAAUGGAGGAAGUGCGACAUUUCCACUCAUCGGGGACGAGAGGAGAUUGGUAUUCUACAAAUAUGGGAACACACAUUGGGAGGGACAAGGUUGAGUAAAACAUGAGUAUUCCAGCAGCCAUCUCGAAUAAAGUCGCUGACUCGAAAAAAGGAGUGAGAAGAAGAGGAAGAGCCCGAUACCAAAAAUUCCAAGAGGGUAGGAACCAAGGAUCAACCCAAAAGAAAGUGGAAGAACCAGAUCCAAUCGACACAUAAACCAUAUGCUUAAGAAGAGGUAAUAUGGAAACAAGACUUUUCCAGAUCCAAGACCCCUUCUUGGUAGAGAUGGAUGAGUCAACGAGAGAAUUCUUAAGGAAGAAUCGCGUCUUAAGGAUUGACGCCCAUAGAGAAUUAGAUUUAGUAAGUAAUCUCCAACCCAAUUUUAGGUGAAGGGCUUGAUUACGUGUUUUGGCAUUUCUAAUGCCAAGGCCGCCCCGCUGCCAAGGGGAACAAAUCCGAUGCCACGAGAUAAGAUGAGCUCUUCGUUUGGAACUUUCAAGAUUGCCAAAAAAAUGCCCAUUCCAAAAGCGGGCACAGAUAGAGUCAAUCUGACGACAAAUACUGAGCGAGAGGUCAAAACAAGACAUCCAAAAAGAUGGAAUCGAAUAUAGGAGCGAUUGAACUAACACUUUCCCACCAACAUAGGAAAGAAGAUAAGAUUUCCAAAUUGAUAAUUUCUUAUCCAUCCGAUCAAUAAUGUGUUUAAAGGUCCUUACACGAGAAUCAGAUCACCUCCAUUUACUAUAAUUUUAUAUUGUAAUUCCAACCCAAGUUACCAUUUAUUAGUCCUAUCCAAUUCAAGCAAUUACGGCAAAUCUGAUUCUCCAAACCAUUUUAGUUAAUAAGAAUUAAUUCGAUACAACAUAUUAUAGGGUGUUAAAUUUCAGUCAAGACAGAUUCAUAUCGAACCGAACCAAAACAAUUUUUUACCAAUUCAUAUCGAACCAAAUCAAAACGUCAGAAAUGUUUUUCAGAUGACUAGCAAACAGAGCCUUACUCAUUCCCUUUGAGUGAUAUAGUUUAUAAUAAUAUAUAAUGAAACCAAUAAAAAAAAUAAAAAAUCAGACCAAACCGGACCAAAGCUGAAACUUCCUUAACUAUUUGGAUUUUUAUGAACUCAGAAACAAAUCGAAAUCAAUUUAAUUUGAUCAAAACCGAACUGAACUGACCAAUUGACACCAUUAAAAUUUACAGCUCAUAAUUAUAUUUAGCCAUGUAAUUUAAAUAGAAAUUUGUUGUAUUCAAAGUUAUAUCGACUAAAUUUACGGUGUAAUAAAUAAAUUUAAACAGUUGUCGUUGUCAUGCAAGAAUGUAUAGUUGUCAUUGUCAUGCAAGAAUGUAUAAAUGAAUUUACAUAUGUAAAGGGUUUAGUUUUAUCAUAAACUCUUACCAAAAAAAAGAACUAAUUUUAAUAUAAAUAACUAACAAGCAAAUCCUAUUCUCAUACAUGACAUUACUCUCUAAAGACUAGACAGAAGAAUGAAGUUGUCUUCGUUCCUUCUCAGCUUGAUUGUUCUUCUCCUUCUCUUCACUGAAGGUAUGUUUCAGGAAGCAUGGAUUGCGAUGUAUCGGGUUGCUAUAGGGCAAUACAAUUUUCGGAUGCACUAAUUCAAAGUGCUCCGACCGUUGCAGGCACAUGAAUUACAGCAAAAUUAUGACUGGGUAUUGUGAGAGUGAUUUCUGCCAUUGCAACUGUUGCCCUAAGUCACAAUUCAAAUCUCGUAAAGUCAUGGAGGAUCCAAAUAUUUGAAGUUUAUGCUUAUUGUAAUCUCUUUUUCACCCUAAAGUAUAUGAAUAUAAUUUUAUCAGUUUGAUAUC